UCCCUGAUGGCUCAGUUGGUAAAGAAUCUGCCUGCAACGCAGGAGACCCCAGUUCAAUUCCUGGGUCGGGAA
rnacentral:tRNA from 1 species